rnacentral:rRNA from 1 species
GUGGUGCAUGGCUGUCGUCAGCUCGUGUCGUGAGAUGUUGGGUUAAGUCCCGCAACGAGCGCAACCCUUGUCCCAUGUUGCCAGCGUAAUGCCGGGGACUCAUGGGAGACUGCCGGGGUCAACUCGGAGGAAGGUGGGGAUGACGUCAAGUCAUCAUGCCCCUUAUGUCCAGGGCUUCACACAUGCUACAAUGGCCGGUACAAAGGGCUGCGAAACCGUGAGGUGGAGCGAAUCCCACAAAGCCGGUCUCAGUUCGGAUCGGGGUCUGCAACUCGACCCCGUGAAGUCGGA